UGAGAGCAAGAACCUGGAGACGGAAUCUGAGACAAGAUUCCGGGCCCUACGGGGCGCAGCAGGCGCGAAACCUUUACACUGCACGCACGUGCGAUAAGGGGACUCCGAGUGCGAGGGCAUAUCGUCCUCGCUUUCGUGUACCGUAGGGUGGUACACCAACAAGGGCUGGGCAAGACCGGUGCCAGCCGCCGCGGUAAUACCGGCAGCCCGAGUGAUGGCCGAUCUUAUUGGGCCUAAAGCGUCCGUAGCUGGCUGCGCAAGUCCGUCGGGAAAUCCACUCGCCCAACGAGUGGGCGUCCGACGGAAACUGCACAGCUUGGGACCGGAAGGCUCGAAGGGUACGUUCGGGGUAGGAGUGAAAUCCCAUAAUCCCGCACGGACCACCGAUGGCGAAAGCACUUCGAGAAAACGGAUCCGACAGUGAGGGACGAAAGCCAGGGUCUCCAACCGGAUUAGAUACCCGGGUAGUCCUGGCCGUAAACAAUGUUCGCUAGGUAUGACACAGACUACGCGUCUCUGUUGUGCCGUAGGGAAGCCGAGAAGCGAACCGCCUGGGAAGUACGUCUGCAAGGAUGAAACUUAAAGGAAUUGGCGGGGGAGCACUACAACCGGAGGAGCCUGCGGUUUAAUUGGAUUC
rnacentral:rRNA from 1 species